rnacentral:rRNA from 1 species
UACGGGAGGCAGCAGUGGGGAAUAUUGCACAAUGGGCGCAAGCCUGAUGCAGCCAUGCCGCGUGUAUGAAGAAGGCCUUCGGGUUGUAAAGUACUUUCAGCGGGGAGGAAGGCGAUGUGGUUAAUAACCGCGUCGAUUGACGUUACCCGCAGAAGAAGCACCGGCUAACUCCGUGCCAGCAGCCGCGGUAAUACGGAGGGUGCAAGCGUUAAUCGGAAUUACUGGGCGUAAAGCGCACGCAGGCGGUCUGUUAAGUCAGAUGUGAAAUCCCCGGGCUUAACCUGGGAACUGCAUUUUGAAACUGGCAGGCUUGAGUCUCGUAGAGGGGGUAGAAUUCCAGGUGUAGCGGUGAAAUGCGUAGAGAUCUGGAGGAAUACCGGUGGCGAAGGCGGCCCCUGGGACGAAGACUGACGCUCAGGGUGCGAAAGCGUGGGGAGCAAACAGGAUUAGAUACC